AUUGAACGCUGGCGGCAGGCUUAACACAUGCAAGUCGAGCGGAGAUGAGGUGCUUGCACCUUAUCUUAGCGGCGGACGGGUGAGUAAUGCUUAGGAAUCUGCCUAUUAGUGGGGGACAACAUUCCGAAAGGAAUGCUAAUACCGCAUACGCCCUACGGGGGAAAGCAGGGGAUCUUCGGACCUUGCGCUAAUAGAUGAGCCUAAGUCGGAUUAGCUGGUUGGUGGGGUAAAGGACUACCAAGGCGACGAUCUGUAGCGGGUCUGAGAGGAUGAUCCGCCACACUGGGACUGAGACACGGCCCAGACUCCUACGGGAGGCAGCAGUGGGGAAUAUUGGACAAUGGGCGGAAGCCUGAUCCAGCCAUGCCGCGUGUGUGAAGAAGGCCUUUUGGUUGUAAAGCACUUUAAGCGAGGAGGAGGCUACCUGGAUUAAUACUCUAGGAUAGUGGACGUUACUCGCAGAAUAAGCACCGGCUAACUCUGUGCCAGCCGCCGCAGUAAUAC
rnacentral:rRNA from 1 species